rnacentral:rRNA from 1 species
GAUGAACGCUAGCGACAGGCUUAACACAUGCAAGUCGAGGGGCAGCAUAAAAGUAGCAAUACUUUGGUGGCGACCGGCGCACGGGUGAGUAACGCGUAUGCAACCUACCUAUCAGAGGGGAAUAACCCGGCGAAAGUCGGCCUAAUACCGCAUAAAACAGGGGCACCGCAUGGUGCUAUUUGUUAAAGAUUUAUUGCUGAUAGAUGGGCAUGCGUUCCAUUAGGUAGUUGGUGAGGUAACGGCUCACCAAGCCGACGAUGGAUAGGGGAACUGAGAGGUUGGUCCCCCACACUGGUACUGAGACACGGACCAGACUCCUACGGGAGGCAGCAGUGAGGAAUAUUGGUCAAUGGGCGAGAGCCUGAACCAGCCAAGUCGUGUGAAGGAAGAAGGAUCUAUGGUUCGUAAACUUCUUUUGCAGGGGAAUAAAGUGGAGGACGUGUCCUUUUUUGUAUGUACCCUGAGAAUAAGGAUCGGCUAACUCCGUGCCAGCAGCCGCCGUAAUAC